rnacentral:rRNA from 1 species
UACGAAGGGGGCUAGCGUUGCUCGGAAUUACUGGGCGUAAAGGGCGCGUAGGCGGAUGUUUAAGUCGGGGGUGAAAGCCCGGGGCUCAACCUCGGAAUUGCCUUCGAUACUGGACAUCUUGAGUACGGGAGAGGUGAGUGGAACUCCGAGUGUAGAGGUGAAAUUCGUAGAUAUUCGGAAGAACACCAGUGGCGAAAGCGGCUUCCUGGUCCAGCACCGACGUUCAGGCACGAAAGCGUGGGGAGCAAACAGG